rnacentral:rRNA from 1 species
GACGAACGCUGGCGGCGUGCCUAAUACAUGCAAGUAGAACGCUGAAGAGAGGAGCUUGCUCUUCUUGGAUGAGUUGCGAACGGGUGAGUAACGCGUAGGUAACCUGCCUUGUAGCGGGGGAUAACUAUUGGAAACGAUAGCUAAUACCGCAUAACAAUGGAUGACCCAUGUCAUUUAUUUGAAAGGGGCAAAUGCUCCACUACAAGAUGGACCUGCGUUGUAUUAGCUAGUAGGUGAGGUAACGGCUCACCUAGGCGACGAUACAUAGCCGACCUGAGAGGGGAAUGGGCCACACUGGGACUGAGACACGGCCCAGACCCCUAGGGGAGGAAGCCGUAGGGAAUCUUCGGCAAUGGGGGCAACCCUGACCGAGCAACGCCGCGUGAGUGAAGAGGGUUUUCGGAUCGUAAAGCUCUGUUGUAAGUCAAGAACGAGUGUGGGAGUGAAAAGUUCACACUGUGACGGUAGCUUACCAGAAAGGGAGGGCUAACUACGUG